UCCUGAAAACAUAACAUCACUUUGGGUCAGUAGGGGUAUGCACUUCACUUCUUAGGAGUUAAAAUUAUAGCUGAUAAGUGGAUUACUGUAUCAAGGAAAGACUAGUCAGAGUGAUUAUAAAUGACAAAAACAUGGUCAAAACAUUUCUCAGAUGUAUGCAGAUGAUAAUUACAGAAACAGUUUUAUAAAGAAUGAUCUUACAUAUUGUCAUGUUUCUAGGAACAAGACAGAUGAAUGGCUUUCAUUUUUAAACAGAGGUAGUAUGUGUUGGUCUCAGUUAUGCAUGGAGCUUAUGGAAUUAUUUGUUAUUCAGAAAUACCUUCUUUACAAGUAAUGUUGGGUUUGGUCUGCAAAUACCUGAAGUGAGUUCAAGCUUUAUGGUCCACUUUUAAGAAUAUUAGGUCUGUAAGAAGUUCCAACAGAGAAGGCAAUGGCAACCCACUCCAGUACUCUUGCCCGGAGAAUCCCAGGGAACGGGGAGCCUGGUGGGCUGCUGUCUAUGGGGUUGCAGAGUCGGACACGACUGAAGCGACUUAGCAGCAGCAGCAGCAACAAGUUCCAAACACAUCGCUUGAAAGAAUUGCCUUCACGUCAGGAGUGGCUUCUGGAUUCCCAAACUAAUAGACUAGUGAGUAAGGUAUCUCAGCUUAGGCAAAUUAACUGUUAAAUCUGUUGCCUUAUCUUUAAAAAUAGGCUAACCUGGAAAACCAAAUUGUUUUCUGUUGUAUGUAUUCUGCAGUGUAAUCUAGAGGCUUCAGCAACAGACUCUCCUAGGAUAACCACUGAGCCACCAGGGAAGCCCUUUUUGUCCCCCAACCAGGGAUCAAACCCACACCCCUGCAGUGGAAGCACGGAGUCUUAACCGCUAGACCACCAGGGAAGUCCCUAGGAAUCUGAUUUUUAAUGAACUCACCUCUUCACCUAGUUCUACUUGAAAGCACAAAGGUAAAACAGCUUGCCAAAAUCACACCUCAAUACAUUCUCCGCCUUCCUCAAUUUUGUGUACUAACUCUUCUUUCCAUUGUGCUCAAUACUUCUUGCUGCAGUUCCAAGACACAGAGCAAAAACUUUCAAAAUCUUCUCUUUGUAGUUGUAUUCAAUAAAGACUAUAAUUCAACCACGGCACGUAUUGCUUAAAUCGGGUGUAUAAUAGUUUAUUUUAGGGAAAGGCAUGAAUUAUAUGAUCCAUGCUCGUAUCUAAAGCAUUUGAUUAAAAGAUUUUGAAUAAAAAGUAGUUCAGUA